AAUAAUUUUUAGGGGUGCUGUAAAAAGCUGAGAUUAUACCCAUUUACCUGUGCGGAUAAUGCCGGAGCAGGGAUGAGAUAAUAUGCUAUU
rnacentral:ncRNA from 1 species